AGCGAACGCUAGCGGCGGGCCUAACACAUGCAAGUCGAGCGGGGAGCAAUCCCAGCGGCGAACGGGUGAGUAACACGUGGGUAAUGUGCCUUCUGGUGGGGAAUAACCUUGGGAAACCAGGGCUAAUACCGCAUAUCGUGCUUCGGCAUGAAAGCCUUCGGGCGCCAGUAGAGCAGCCUGCGUCCCAUUAUUUAGUCCUAGUUGGUAGGGUAAUGGCCUACCAAGGGUACGAUGGGUAGCUGGUCUGAGAGGAUGAUCAGCCACACUGGAACUGAGACACGGUCCAGACUCCUACGGGAGGCAGCAGUGGGGAAUAUUGCGCAAUGGGGGAAACCCUGACGCAGCCACGCCGCGUGAGUGAUGAAGGCC
rnacentral:rRNA from 1 species